rnacentral:rRNA from 1 species
CAAUAGCGUAUAUUAAAGUUGUUGCGGUUAAAAAGCUCGUAGUUGGAUUUCUGCUGAGAACGACCGGUCCGCCCUCUGGGUGUGUAUCUGGCUCUUUCUUGGCAUCUUCUUGGUGAACGUUGCUGCACUUGACUGUGUGGAGCGCUACCCAGGACUUUUACUUUGAGGAAAUUAGAGUGUUUCAAGCAGGCAUACGCCUUGAAUACAUUAGCAUGGAAUAAUAAGAUAGGACCUCGGUUCUAUUUUGUUGGUUUCUAGAGCUGAGGUAAUGAUUAAUAGGGAUAGUUGGGGGCAUUCGUAUUUAACUGUCAGAGGUGAAAUUCUUGGAUUUGUUAAAGAUGGACUACUGCGAAAGCAUUUGCCAAGGAUGUUUNCAUUGA